GUGGGUAUAGCUCAAGUGGUAGAGCGCAUGCUUAGCAUGCACAAGGUCCUGGGUUCAAUCUCCAGUGCCUCCU
rfam:Camelus ferus unplaced genomic scaffold scaffold1443, whole genome shotgun sequence.